AUUGAACGCUGGCGGCAGGCCUAACACAUGCACGUCGAGCUGAGCGGCUGACGGGUGAGUAAUGCCUAGGAAUCUGCCUGGUCGUGGGGGAUAACGUCCGGAAACGGGCGCUAAUACCGCAUACUAUCAGAUGAGCCUAGGUCUGAUUAGCUAGUUUGUGGGGUAAAGGCCUACCAAGGCGACGACCCGUAACUGGUCUGAGAGGAGGAUCAGUCACACUGUAAAUGCGACACGGUCCAGACUCCUACGGGAGGCAGCAGUGGAGAAUAUUGGACAAUGGGCGAAGUCCUGAUCCAGCCAUGCCGCGUGUGUGAAGAAGGCCUUCGGUUUGUAAAGUACUUUCAGCGGGGAGGCGUUACCCGCAGAAGAAGCACCGGCUAACUCCGUGCCAGCAGCCGCGGUAAUUC
rnacentral:rRNA from 1 species